GCGGUGGUAAUCAAGUGGUUACGAUGCUGGACUGCUAAUCCAGUGCACAUCUGUGCGCGAGGGUUCAAGUCCCUCCCACCGCG
rnacentral:tRNA from 1 species